CGCUCCGCUAGAGAAACACGGGGGCAGGGUGGUCCCACGCUCCUUGUCUCACACGCCUCCCACCUGUGUGCAGCAGAGGACCGGGCCUAGCUCUCACGCCGCCCUGCCGGGGACAGACGUGCGAGAUCGGGACCUGCGCCACAAGGCACAGCGGCUCCCUUCUGUAUUCUCGUCUUCAGGCUCUCUGAACUGGCAGCAGAAAAUGUAUCCAAAACCCUCUGUUUCCUGUGGGUCCAGCUGACACCGUGUGGACACGGGCCAUCAUGGAGCACGAACGGGGACCAUCAUGGAGCACGCAUACGGCUGGCUGACUGGAGGAAAAUACAUCAAUCUUUGGAUUGAAAAGAAGAAUGCCACUUUUGCCUUUUCUUCAUAAAUCUACAGGAGACAAAAAAAA